rnacentral:rRNA from 1 species
UGGCGAGUGGCGCACGGGUGAGUAAUACAUCGGAACGUGUCCUGUUGUGGGGGAUAACUGCCUCGAAAGGGUGGCUAAUACCGCAUGAGACCUGAGGGUGAAAGCGGGGGAUCGCAAGACCUCGCGCAAUUGGAGCGGCCGAUGCCCGAUUAGCUAGUUGGUGAGGUAAAGGCUCACCAAGGCGACGAUCGGUAGCUGGUCUGAGAGGACGACCAGCCACACUGGGACUGAGACACGGCCCCAGACUCCUACGGGAGGCAGCAUGGGGAAUUUUGGACAAUGGGGGCAACCCUGAUCCAGCCAUGCCGCGUGCAGGAUGAAGGCCUUCGGGUUGUAAACUGCUUUUGUCAGGGACGAAAAGGACCGUGUUAAUACCAUGGUCUGCUGACGGUACCUGAAGAAUAAGCACCGGCUAACUACGUG